GAUUUAAUUGGUUUUAUUUAUAAUUCCAAUUAUUAAAAGAUGAGUAAGAAUAUUGUUGGUGUUCUUAACUCAAGAGAAAAUGUUUUCAAUUAUUUAUUCAUUAAAUUUUGAAAACCCGGCUAAGUGAAUCAUAGAAUAUUAAGCACUACACCAUGACUUAAGAUUAGAAUUCAAGGAGACCUAUUGAGAAUAGAUUUCUUGUAGGCUUUGAGCAACAGGAGGAUUAGCACUGCUAUUCCGAUUCAGAGAUAAGGAUAAACGACAGGCUUUGCCUAAUCAGGUUGAGCAGUUGAUGGAAUGGAAUGAUGUUGAGCGGGUGUUCCUUUGACAUUUCAAGAAAUGUAACCUUGAGUAUACAUCUUCAUAUGUAUAUCUCACACGCUUUCCGCUGCAAAACACUUUGAUUAAGAUAGCUCUAUGAUAUGAAGUUGUGAUACGUGUUAUUGGGUAACCACCUUAAUCAGUUCUCAAUUAUGUGUAUCCAAAUAAUCAUAUAUGAUCCUAGCAUUUUAUCUAUGAGUGACAUUUCCAUAUACUUUAAUGUUAAGUAAUUGUCCAUUUCCA